rnacentral:lncRNA from 1 species
UUUAUUUGCUGAUUUUAAGACUUGAACCAGGUCUGUUGAAACGUAUACCAUGUGGGUCAGGUUCUUUAUCUAGUUCUUCACAACAAGUUUGUUAGAUCUUCAAAACAUAAAAAGCAUAAGGCAAAGGCAUUAAAACCCCAUCAAAGUCGCAACUCGAUAAGAAUAACCGCUUUCAUACCAGGUUUUAUCCAAAAAUCUCCACAAGGUACCGAACCUCAAAGUAUUCACAACUCAUGGGUCCCAAUUCGUGAACCCUAAUCAUUUGGCAUCUUGUGCGCUCAUUAUAGCUAGUAACUACACGGACAAUUCACGUGCCAAUAGAAAAAUUCUCAUAUGGAAGGCAAGUAGACUAAGGUAUGUAUGAAUGAUCAAUAACAUCAGGACUGAUCUUCUAAAAUGAUAGGGGUGAUUAAUUACGUGUAUGUUUGGUGCGAGUGUCCUAUCACAGUUCAGACCAACGAGUAAGAGUAGAGGAAAUGAACGGCACAUAAGAAAUGAUCCCCACGAUUUGCACAAGGUAAAAUUCACACAAGUUAGGAACGUCACUACAUAAAUAUCAACAACAAAAAUGCCCCCAGGUCAUCACAAGUCAUCACAAAUCAAUCCCCAAUAUAGCCCACAUUGUCUCGCCACGUGCUCAAUAGUAAAGUAAAUACCCCUUAUCUCGCCGCACGUGCAUAGAAAUGUUCCUACUUUGUCUCACCAUAUGCGCAACACACAGAUAUAGCUUGCAUUAAUACGCCGCAUGUGCAACAUCAAUAGUAAUAAUACUAGGGCAUAAACCACGUGCAAACACCCGAACAAAUCCUCCCAACAAUAACACGAGCCAUAAACACAACAACACAAUAGAAUAACCUUUAGAACAUGUGCCCAUAUUCCACAACAUUUCCUCUAACUAGUGUCAAUACCAUAACCGCACAUAGCCCUCGGCUCAACAGACUAAGUACAACAGCAGCAACAACAAUAAUAACACGAGAAUACGACAAGUAAAUCAACUCAAGAGCUUUGGAACACAAAGAAGCGGUAGAACGAGCUUACAAAGAAUAAACACAAUAGAGAAUACUAGUUACAAUAGGAAUCGCUUAACAAGGGAGAAAUAAUAUGUAACAGAAGAUUCCACAAAGGUAUAAUUCGACAACAAAGGAGAUAACAUGAGUAAUAAUUUCAAAAUAAGGAUGAGACAACUAUAAUAAAGGAUAACUAAACUCCAUUUAGGGUUGAGCAAUUUCGAAAAGGAUACAACAAAUUCAAUUAAGGAUAAGCAAUGAAAAAGAUAAUCAUAACCUCAAUUAAGGAUAAAUAAUUACAGAAGAGAUAAUAAUAAUUUCAAUUAAGGAUAAGCAAUUAGGAAAGGAUAGUAUGGAAAUCGAAGAGGAAACAACUUCAGUCAAGGCACCCAUGAGUCAAUUAGGCAAUAAGGGUGUUACAUGAAGCAAUUAAUUCCAACUAAGAUACGUAGAGGUGAAACUUGUAAAUGGGGAAUUUAACAUAACAAAACAACUUCAUAUCUAAUGAACAUAAGAAAUUGGGAACUUUAAAAGGUCAACUUUCAACAAAUAAGCCCGAGUACGCACUCAUUACCUCAUGUGCACGGACUUCACAUGACACAAUUAGCACCAAGGACUCAAAUCCUAAAGGGUAGUUCCCCCACACAAAGGUAGGCAAGAUAAUUACCUCAAAGAAUAUAGACCAUACUCUAAAAUGAACUUCUCGAGCGAAAUAACCUCCGCACGGCUCAAAUUCAGCCAAAAAAACUUCAAAUCAUAAAUAAAACUCAUAGGAAACAAUCCCGGAUAAUAAAGUCUCAAUCUUUAACAAAAACUAAAAGGUCAACCCAAAAGUAAACCCCUGGGCCCGCACCUUGAAACCCGAUAAAAUUUAUAAAACCUGAAUACCCACUCUGAUACAAGUUCAACCAUACCAAAAUUAUCAAAUUCUGAUACCAAUUUGCCCCUCAAAUCAUUAUUUUACAUUUGAAAGUUUUCUUAAAAAAUUCUCACUUUCCCUCAACUCAAAACACUAAUUAUAAGAUACAAAUAAAGAUAGAAUCAUGGAAUAUAAUAAAUUUCGGGUGAAGAACAGAUGCUCCAAUGAUUUUCUUGAAAAACCCACGAAGAAUCGCUCCAAACCGAGCUCUACAACUCCAAAAAUGAUAAAAAUGGCUAACCCUCUAAAUAGAGUACUUUUAUAUUCUACCAGGUGUUUGUACACCGCGAUCGCGUAAGAGGAAUUGCGAUCGCGAAGAAGGAAAGAUCAACUGCUAGAAAUUGUACUACGUGAUUGCGGACAGGUACAUGCGAUCGUGAAGAAGGAAAGCACUGAUGCCCCAAGAAAUGUACUACGUGAUCGCGAAACAGAGGAUGCGAUCGCGAAAGGGAACCAGCUGUUGGGCUAUGCUACGCAAAUGCGGACCGGUAAAAGCAAAAGCAUUGAAUGGGGAUGCACACUUAUGAGAUCCCUGGCAAUAGUAUGCGAAUGUGAAGAACAAAUAUUCUUGCCUCCAAAAUUACACUAUGCGAACGCGAUUAAGAAAAUCAAAUACCAGCAAAACAGCAGUCCAACAACAAGGAGAAAUGGCCCCUAGGCCUUCCGAAACACACUCGAGGCCCCCAGGAACCCGUCGAAACAUGCCACAAGUUCCAUAACAUACCACCGACUCGUUUGAGGGCUCAAAUCACAUCAAACAAAGUCAAAACUACGAAUCGCGCUAAGAAUCGAACUUAUGAACUUUCAGUUCUUCCAACUUCCAUAACUCAUACACAAACAUACCAAAUUAACUCGGAACGACGUUAAAUUUUUGUAUCAAGUUCCAAAUGAUAUAACGGAGCUAAUCCAACUCUCAGAAUCCCAUUCCAACCCCGAUAACACCAAAGUCAACUCUCGAUCAAACCUCUCAACCUUCCAAAACUUUAACUUUUUCAAUUUUUGCUGCAAUACUUCAAAUUACCUUACGGACCUCCAAAUCCGAACGCACGUCUAAGUCCAAAAUCACCAUACUAAGCUAUUGGAACCAUCAAAAUCCUAUUCUAGAGUCGUUUACACAAAAGUCAAAUUUCGAUCAACUCUUACCGCUUAAGCUUCUAAAAUAAGAAUCCUUCUUCCAAAUUGACCCUGAAUCAUCCGAAAACGACUCGGCCAUACAUGCAAGUCAUAACACAAUAUACGAAGCUGCUCGAGACCUUAGGCCACCCGGUAUCAGCCUCUACCUACCGUAACAACUUAUACCUACAUCCACAAAAUACAACCACACGUCGUGACACAUCACUCAUAUGCCCAUAAUAACAUUUCUAAUCACAAUAGCUGCCCCUAAUCAAAUCCAGCACCAGUAAUUAGCCUCAUACCCGUUAGAACCAUGUUUCAACCCUCCACAAUAUUGACAAUGAUACAAGAAACAUGAAGAUCUCAUAACUAUUCACCCGAAUCAACAAGUCACCUCUAACGCCACCGGGGCACACACCACGUUAGCUAAAACUCAAUAAGCACAACACGAAAAUGACUGAAUAUGUAAGCAGAAAAAACAUAAGAGAAGUAUCAAACAAGCCUAACAGGCACAAUCCCUAUUAGUACCAUUUUACGAAUCAAUUUAACAAGGAAGAAUGCACAAUCAUAAGGAACUCAUCCUGAUAUAACUUCCACCACGGCAUGCAGCCCGGUUCAAACACAUCAAAUUAUAUGAAACUGCGAGGGUCUCACCUUCCACUCUGAAUCACAAGUGGAAUACACAUCAUACUAACCAAAACCUUCCACUAAUUCUAUUCCGCAAAUAAAAAAAAUCACAACACUUACUGAACUCCCACACUGGUAGAGCAUCUUAAUCACAUAUCGUAGCUAAUCACUCGGAGGUCACAUUAAAACCUACCAUAAUGGGUAAUAGAGGCACUUCUAGUCUCAUUAAUCUCAAUAAUGAAUAAAAAUAGAACAAUAGGCACAGGCUAUCACUAUAGGAUCUCCUAACAAGGGUAAACACACAAAUAAAGUACUAAAUCAUGAAACUCACCCACAUGUGAAGAAAAAUAGGAGGACUUACCCCGAUAAGAAGAACCGAAACAAAAUACGAAUGGUUCUCCUCUAUUAACAAAUUGAAAGCAUACUUGUACGAUGUCAUAUGGUGCAGUAGCCUCCGCCCUACUAUAGAAAACACAUCAACAGGUCGGGCCUCCCCCUUUUGGGUUCCCUCUACUCCCCUGACAUGUACCCCAAACUGGCGGUGCAGGGAUAUUAACAACCCUAAUCAAAAUCAUAGCCUCAAUACCCCACUCUGACACAUCUGUCCGGAGUCUAGGACAAUUUCUUACCAUGUGGAUGGCAUCUCCACACUUGAAGCAACCUCUUUGCUAAUGUGGUUGAGGAAACAAUGCGGUAUGGGUACUCUAAGACCCAUGAGUACCUGAAAUACCAUAUGAAUCCUGAAGUCCAAACUGAACUGGCUGACCCACAAAACCUCUACCAUGUCGUACCCUACCUCAAAAAUAAGAACCAGUAGAUCUCUCCGGUCCGUGAGGCCUCUUAGCCUCCCUGUCACCUCUCUCUUGAUCUCGCAUGUCCUCCCUCUCCUGGCUUCACAUGUCCUUUCUCUCCUGGUCUCACAUGCCCUCUAAUUGGCGAGCGAUCUCUACCACCUGCUAAAAUGGAACAUCUGAUUCUAACUCCCAAGCUAUGCUGAACCGGAUAUCAUGUAUGAGCCUCUCAAUGAAUCUACGAACUCGCUCUCUAACUAUAGCAGCCAAAACAGGUGCAUGUCUGGACAAAUCGUUGAACCAAACGGCAUACUCUGACUGUUACACCUUAUGUUUUUCGUGGGCGAGUGUACGCCGUAAGUCAAUUGAUAUAAACUCUGAAAUAAGAUUAUAUUUGGAAACAUAUAAAGUAAGUUAAUCAUAUUACCUUGGAGGUUACGAAUAUUUAAGAUCAUGAAUAACGAGCACCAAGAGGGUUGGAAAGUUUAGAAGCUAAACCAAUUGAAGAAAAUAAGUUUCAUCGAAAGUCGACAAGUUUGGAAUGUUAUAACAUGUAUCUUAGGGUGAGACUAUGGUUCUUAACAUGAUAAUGAGGUUAUGUUAUGAGUUAAUUUAGUCGUAUGGUAAAUGUGUGCUAGGUUUUGAAGUCAAACGAGUUGUGGAACAAAAGUUGGCAAAGGUCAUCACUAGUUACAUUCAUAAAUGUGCUGAACAUUAUGGCAAAUGUAGUUGAGCUUUUAUCCAAAUAUAAUUGGAACUAUUGGGUUAUAUACCUAUCAAAUGGAAUAUCUAUGAGUCUAGUUUCUAACGCAUUAAACGGUUUGUCGAUAUGAUAUUGGACUAGAGAGAUAUUCGCAUUUUUGCGACACUGCGCAAGCAACUCCUAUGGGAUCCACAAAAUCGAUUUAAACUUCAGUUUGUCUUUUUAACUCAUUUUUACAUCCACAACAGUUCCUAAAUCCUCCUAAAAUCCUCUCCAAGGGUUCCUCCAUGAUUCUAGGGUAAAAACCUAAGAUAAAAACAUGACGCUAGAAAUCCUGUGGUGCUUGCUAGAUCGUAUUUCUUCAUCUUGUGGCUGGUUUGGAGGGUUCUUCAAAGGUAAGUAUCCUCAAAUUUUGUCUUGUUAUUUAUUAUUAAGAUAAGAAUUAGUACCUCCUUCAUGUAUAUUAGAGCUUCAAGGCGAAAUACAAGUGUUUAUACACCAACAUGAACACAAAGGUUAAUUCAAGAAAAGAAUACAACUCGUACAAUGUUGUGGUGUGAUUAAGGGUUUUGUGAGCUACACCAGCUGGGGAUUUCAAGUUGUAUCUACAACCUAAGGUAAGUAAAUCAUGUUCUUGGUUAUUCUUAAGGUCAAUUGUGUGCUGGUUGAGUUGUUUGAGUGAUAAUCUACAUGAAAGUAAUUGACAUGGCAUAAGGAAUCAUUAUUUUUUUGUGGGCUGUAUUGAGCCUAUAUAUAUGGUUUGUUGUGGCUGGAAAUUAUUAUAAAUAGUUUUAUUAUGAUGUGGCUGUUGUUGUUAAGCUUAUCCAUGUGCUGAUUCAGUGGAUUGAAGAAGAUAAUAUGAAAAAUAAGAUGUUGAUGAUAAAGGUUAAGGUGCUAGGUGUGUGGACUAUAUUUGAAAAUUAUGCUUAUGAUGUUUUGUGUUGAAAUAUGGUAAGCAUAAGUAUGAUGUUAUAUAUGUUGUAGGAAGAUUCAUGGAAAAGGAAUUGGAUUUAAACUGUAUUUUGUUAAUCGUAAAUCGAGCUUGCCUCUCAAAAUGGUUGUUGAACAAAUCGAUGAGCUUAUUGUGAAUUAUAUUGUUGUUGUUUGGGCUGUUUGGUGACUUUUAGUAACAUAAGGUAUGUAGUAUAAAUAGGUGAGGUACUGUCCGUUUUCUUGUAAAAUGUUGGUUUCCAAAUAUGAGUUACAACGCUUAUAUAAUGACGACGAAGUCGGUUUUCUCAUUGUAGACGUAAAAAGAUCAUAUUGAGCUUGCUUCACGAAUGGAUAGAAGAUUCAAAGGUAUGUUAAGGCACUUCCUUAUUUCUUUUUGCAUUAUCUAAAGUGAAAUGAAUACACUAUUUCAUAACGGAUCUACUCCUAGCAACUAAGGUUGUCCAUGUUGUUCUUUCCUUAUAAAAUUAUUCUAAGCAAGUGUGUAUGAUCCUUGAAUCCUACUGAGGUUCAUAUUGAGGGUAUGAAUGUCCAUAAUGUUAAUCGAAGGUGUAACGACCUUAUGUCACUCCAAAAGGUUUAGAACGUAAUUCUAUGAGUCUAGCAUGCAUUAUAUAUAGUAUCUAUUUCACUCUACCUAGCCGCGCUAUGGUCGACCGGGGUACGGCACCUAUUGUGCAACCACUGAUCAGUUGGGUUUAUCAAGCUCCACGUGGCCAAGUACGAUUCUAUCGAGCCUUAUGAUGGCCGGGUACAUUUUUACCGAGCCCUCUUUGAGGCCGUGUAUGAUAUGAUGAUGAUGAUGCCCACAGAGGCAUAUGUUUUUAAGGGUUUAUGUAUAUAUAUGUAUUAUGCAUUUCAUGUCAGUAGCCCCUAGAGACACUCAGAUGUUACAGGUUGUAUCUCCUCUAUCUCUCUUUACUUUACUAAUCUUGUUUAUGCUUUCCUGCUUUACAUACUUGGUACUUUAUUCGUACUGAUGUCCCUUUUGCCUCGGGAUGCUGCGUUUCAUACCUGUAGGUCCCGAUAGACAGGUUGGCAUUCCUCCUAGUACACUAUCAGCUCAGCGGUGUCACACCUCCUUUUUCCGGCAAUGAGAUAUAAGGGAGUUUUUCCAAUUUAAGCGACAUAAAUCGAAAUGGGAUUAUUUAAUUUAAUCAAAGUCGUCACUUGGAAUAAUUUAUGGUGUUCCAAGUCACUGAUUUAUUUUAAAAUCCCAAAUCGAGUAAAUUGACUCUAUUUUUUGGUCCGCGAACACAGAAGACUGGGUAAGAAAUUUUGUUAACCCGGGAGAAGGUGUGAGAUACUCCCGAGUUCUGUGGUUUUAGCACGGUCGCUCAACUAUUAAUAAUUGGCCUAAUUAUCUGAUUAAUUACAUAUUUUAAAUCUAUUGUGCAUUUUUAAAUUUAUAACCGCUUUUAUUUAUUUAUGAAAUUUAUUUUUGAAAAAAGUCACGAUGUCGUACACUUGUUGUUUUGGUACACGUCACAAACCACGCCAUAUGAAAUGUACCCGCGAUUUAUGAUAUAUUUUUAUUUUUAUUAUUGUUCGAAGUUAUGGUCGGGUCACAUGAAAUUCACACCCGAAUUGAAAUUUACGUAUCGUGACCAUGCCACGGGAACCGUACUCAUAGCCAUGAUGAUUUAUUUACGCGCCUUAAACACACUAUGAUAUUCAGUUUUUGUAAUCGUAAUUAUGUUACGUGAAUGUAUACAUAAUUGCGAUAAUUUAAAAUGCGAACUAACUAUUCUUAGAAGGAAUCCAUCAAUAACCAAUUUCAACAAGUCAAAAUCAACAAUUAUAAAACCUCAUAUGAAACGAAUUACACAUAUAUAUACGAUUAUGACUCAUAAUUAGCCAAUAUAGUAAUUUGAAAAACCAGAAGCUUAGGAGAUAACAAACAUACACAGUACCUAAAAAGUUGGCUCCCUAUUUAAACUCUUGGUUGAGUUUUUGGCAGAACACUGUGUCGAAGGAUAAGAAGAAAGAUGAACACACUGCAAAUCCUAAAAUCAUCAAAUGCCCCGUUAUUAUGAGUUUACUUCUUUUUUAAAAAAAAAAACUAAAACCACAACCCAUUAAUGUUUCCACAAGUUUUUAAUUUCUAACAAACAACACAUGGACCAUUAUUACUAAUCACCUCAUGAUUCAAUAAAACUUUGCAAUGUCCAUGAAACGGAGAAGAUGCAGUAAACGAACAUGAGACAACACCAAACCAAAUAUAAGACACUCAAAAAUAAUUAAGCUAAAAGCAAAUGAAAUAUACAAAGCAAAAGGGAAAAUAUUUACAAGAAACUAAACAGAAAAAUAAAUCAAAGCAUUAAUUAAUAGACAUUCCAACUAAAACAAGCUUAAUACCAUUGAAAUAGAAGAUGGAGAAACAGACCUACCUCAAACCAAACUUUAUUUACGAGGAAAAUUCAAGCAAAGUUUUGUACAUAUAUGAUGAUUGUUCAGCUGUCAAAGACCAAAACAGCAAUCAUUUUGGAGCCAAAAACGCGAACAGGAUUUCGAACCGGAACUAUAGCGUCACUCAAAACAUCGACCAAAUUUCGGCAAAUUUUCAGCUGGAUUUAGAGGUCCCACGGCAGACUGGUUUUUGUUAUUUUGCUGAGUUUUCGAAGGUGAAAGGAGAUGGCUAGAGAUGGUAAAAUUAUGGCAAAACGCUGGCAGGAAUGAGCUAGUAAAAAAUGAUUUUAUGGCUUUAAAUAGACUGGUUUUUAGAAGCGGAACAUAGCUUGAUUAAUGCGAUGCUGUAAUAGCUGCUUUGUGUACUACAUUGGAGUCACGUUCAUGGAGUUCAGGUGGUUUAAUAGAGGAAAAAUGAUAGGUUUAUACAAUCAAAUCUAAUCUUAUGAAGAAUAGAGGAAAUUGCGGUGCAUUUCUUUGUCCAGCUCCUCCAUUCAAGCUGUUGCGCCAGCUUUUUCAGAUGUAAUGGUUUUAUAGGGUUUUAAUUAAUUGGGCUGGGUAAAUUCUUACUAGGCCUUUUGAAGUAUUUGAGCUUUUAACUUGUGCUGGGCUUUCUUUUAAAAGACAAUAAGUAAAUAAACAACAUACUACUCUAAAUUAAAGAUACCA